rnacentral:lncRNA from 1 species
CAUGUUAUACCAGGCAGGGGCGGAUCCAGGGGUCCGCCAGCUAGGGCGGUCGCCCUAGCUGGAUUCGCCGGAGCCGCCGGAGGAAGAGAGACAGAGACGCAUGGGAAGAAAGAAGAAGAGGAGCCGCCCUAGCUGGAUUCUCUGGAGCCGCCAGAGAAAGAGAGACAAAGAAGCAUGGGAAGAAAGAAGAAGAGGAAGAGAGGAUCAUCCAUGUGGAUUUUAAUUUUCUUUUUACCUGCAAGUGAUCGCCCAGGAAAGCCAAUUCACUAUGUGACUGUGUAAGAGAGAAUUUACACAGAGAAGAUGAAGAGAAAGAUGAGGCCGUGGCGUGUUUGGUAAAGAUCAAUAGUAGCUAGGCUUUGACUUUUGUUUGAAAUUUGCAUAGAUAGAUGAUACGUGCAUGGCUGGAGAUCAAGUGGAGAAUAAUGGGCAUAGAUGCAGCAGCUACGUGGAAGUGAGUCCAAUUCCAAACCACACGUGGAAGCCCAUGACCAAGUCCAUGCAUUAGGAUUUGUUUUUUUCAUUUGUUUAUAGGAAUCUGUUAGACCGAGUAGUGUUUGCAUUUCCGUUAGUUUGUUUUGGCACGUUCGUUUCUUCCUCCUAUAUUGUAGCACCAGUCACGGUAGUUUCUAUAUAUUUCACUUGAUUAGUGGGUUGUAACUUUGCCUAUUUAAAUGGCACAAAAUGAAGGAGAAAGGCAGUGAAAUAUUUUAUCCAAAAAA